rnacentral:lncRNA from 1 species
GUGUGUGCUGACUUGAUCAGAGAAGUAAAGGAAAAGAAUCUCAAAGUGAAAGGACCAGUUUGAAUGCCUACCAAGACUUUGAGAAUCACUACAAGAAAAACUCCUUGUGGUGAAGGUUCUAAGACAUGGGAUCGUUUCCAGAUGAGACUCCACAAGCGACUCAUUGAUUUGCACGGUCCUUCUGAGAUUGUUAAGCAGAUUACUUCCAUCAGUACUGAGCCAGGAGUUGAGGUGGAAGUCAUCAUUGCAGAUG